rnacentral:rRNA from 1 species
AACGAACGCUGGCGGCGUGCCUAACACAUGCAAGUCGAGCGAGAAAAGGGGGGUACGUACCCUCGAGUACAGCGGCGCACGGGUGAGUAACACGUAGGUAAUCUACCCUCGAGCCCGGAACUAACCUACCGAAAGGUGGGCUAAUACCGGAUAUGACCACGGGAGCUUCGGCUUCUGCGGUGGAAAGGUGGCCUCUGCUUGCAAGCUACUACUUGAGGAUGAGCCUGCGUGCCAUUAGCUAGUUGGUGAGGUAACGGCCCACCCAAGGCGAUGAUGGCUAGCUGGUCUGAGAGGAUGGCCAGCCACACUGGGACUGAAACACGCCCAGACUCCUACGGGAGGCAGCAGUGGGGGAUAUUGCGCAAUGGGCGAAAGCCUGACGCAGCGACGCCGCGUGGGUGAUGAAGGCCUU